rnacentral:rRNA from 1 species
GCUUAUGGCCAUACCACCCUGUCUGCGCCUCGUUUUGUCUGAUCUUGAAAGCUAAGCAGGGUUGUGCCUGGUUAGUACUUGAAGGGGAGACUGCCUGGGAAUACCAGGUGCUGUUAGCU